AUGGGAACGAGGCGCCCCGACCUCCUCGCAGGCUGCGAGGGGGGGAUCCUCUCAAGGGCGCCAAAGAGAGCGAGAAGCAGGAGCGGGUCCCCCUACUGCAGCAAGCGCCGCUCCCUCCGGCCCACAGCUCCCUCUAACGAGCCGAGGCAAAGGCAGGCGUCGUCCGUCACUCCGCCCGCCAGUAAGCCAAACCCCCGGCGGGCAGGGCUUCACCAGGCCGCCUCCUUGUCUCAUGCGCUCCCCUCCCGGAAGGGGCAAGGAGGGCUGGAGUCGUCCUUUCCUCUAAAGAGCAAAUUAGAAUGGCUCAAAUGUCGGGAGAAUGCAUGCUCUUUUUCUUGCAAAGGAAAUGCCAGGGGAGGAACAGCGGCCCUGAAAACUGUAAUGAGACUUGGCAGGCUCCCCCCUCCUCCUCCUCCUCCCAGCCUUGGCUGAAUAUAAAAGCAGACCGCGACACAUGUGCCUGAGGCGGGGUGUGGUGCGAGGAGCGCCGCCCUUUGCACGAAGCGGCACCUAAGGGCGCUCCAAGGGGCUCGCCGUUCCUCUUGGGUGCGCUCCCUAAUCUUCCGGGAAUGGGAGGAAGGACACGCCGGGGGCAAGAGACAGGAGCCCGGGGAAAACUGAAGCCGAAACCUCACCUGCGGCCUGCAGAGAGCAACCAGUUGUACUUUGGGGGCAAGGAGAAGGGGCAAGAAGCUGAGGCGUGCAGGCGGUUAAGAAGGCUGAGGGUUGGGAAAACUGUGGCGAAGGAGAUCCAGGAUCUCGCAGAAGGCAGAUGCGUGAAGGAAAUGCGAAAGGCAGGAGAGGAGUGUGGAAGCAGGCUUUUGAGGGAAGGGAAGUAGGCCCAACGAGGUGGGGAGGCUGGGGAGAAAACCUAUUUAAGGGAACUAAUGGAUAGAAGUCACUUGAAGGCACCGCUGGGUCCAAGAAAAUACGUACAGUGGAUCUCAUUGUCACGUAAAAGCCAUCUGGAGCCUCUGUAGACGUGUGAAAUGUAUUUAAACUGAUUUUCAUAUUUUCAGUACUGUAUAUGUAUGUGUAGGGUACCACCUGUAAGAACUCAAGACUGUUUUCUUGCCCUUUGCUCCUAAACUAAUCUAAUGUGGGAGUUGCCUCCACUCACCCUCUCAGGAGCCCUCUCCACCGCAAAUCAUGGACAUACCCUGCCUGAAUCUUCAGGAAUUAGAGUACAUUAUGUAAUAAUUAUAUAAUGUAUUAAUAUAUACUAGUGGGGUACCCAGUGUGGUGUAGUGGGUAGAAUCGUGGACCAGGAUUCAGGAGACAUGGGUUCAUUUCCAUAACACCGCCAUGGAAACUUACAAGGAGGUGGAACUGGUGAAACCGCUCCUUAAAUACAGUACCUCACUUUACUUUGAAAAAACCUAUUAGGGUUGCUGUAAGUCAGUUCUGACUUGACAGCACAGAACAACAUUAC
rnacentral:lncRNA from 1 species